rnacentral:sRNA from 1 species
GCUGGGCGUGAUGGCACACACCUGUAGUCCCAGUGGCUCUGGAGGCUGAGGCAGGAGGAUCGAAAGUUCAAAGCCAGCCUCAGCAACUUAAUGAGGCCCUAAGCAACUUAGUGAGACCCUGUCUCUA